rnacentral:rRNA from 1 species
GGAGGAAAAGAAACCAACAGGGAUUGCCUUAGUAGCGGCGAGUGAAGCGGCAAAAGCUCAAAUUUGAAAUCUGGCUCUUUCAGAGUCCGAGUUGUAAUUUGAAGAAGGUAUCUUUGGGUCUGGCUCUUGUCUAUGUUUCUUGGAACAGAACGUCACAGAGGGUGAGAAUCCCGUGCGAUGAGAUGAUCCAGGCCUAUGUAAAGUUCCUUCGAAGAGUCGAGUUGUUUGGGAAUGCAGCUCUAAGUGGGUGGUAAAUUCCAUCUAAAGCUAAAUAUUGGCGAGAGACCGAUAGCGAACAAGUACAGUGAUGGAAAGAUGAAAAGAACUUUGAAAAGAGAGUGAAAAAGUACGUGAAAUUGUUGAAAGGGAAGGGCUUGAGAUCAGACUUGGUAUUUUGUAUGUUACUUCUUCGGGGGUGGCCUCUACAGUUUAUCGGGCCAGCAUCAGUUUGGGCGGUAGGAGAAUUGCGUUGGAAUGUGGCACGGCUUCGGUUGUGUGUUAUAGCCUUCGUCGAUACUGCCAGCCUAGACUGAGGACUGCGGUUUAUACCUAGGAUGUUGGCAUAAUGAUCUUAAGUCGCCCGUC